UACGUAGGGUGCAAGCGUUGUCCGGAAUUAUUGGGCGUAAAGAGCUCGUAGGCGGCUUGUCGCGUCGUCCGUGAAAACCCACAGCUCAACUGUGGGCUUGCGGUCGAUACGGGCAGGCUAGAGUUCGGUAGGGGAGACUGGAAUUCCUGGUGUAGCGGUGAAAUGCGCAGAUAUCAGGAGGAACACCGGUGGCGAAGGCGGGUCUCUGGGCCGAUACUGACGCUGAGGAGCGAAAGCGUGGGGAGCGAACAGG
rnacentral:rRNA from 1 species